CCUACGGGAGGCAGCAGUAGGGAAUCUUCCACAAUGGGCGCAAGCCUGAUGGAGCAACACCGCGUGAGUGAAGAAGGGUUUCGGCUCGUAAAGCUCUGUUGUUAAAGAAGAACACGUAUGAGAGUAACUGUUCAUACGUUGACGGUAUUUAACCAGAAAGUCACGGCUAACUACGUGCCAGCAGCCGCGGUAAUACGUAGGUGGCAAGCGUUAUCCGGAUUUAUUGGGCGUAAAGAGAGUGCAGGCGGUUUUCUAAGUCUGAUGUGAAAGCCUUCGGCUUAACCGGAGAAGUGCAUCGGAAACUGGAUAACUUGAGUGCAGAAGAGGGUAGUGGAACUCCAUGUGUAGCGGUGGAAUGCGUAGAUAUAUGGAAGAACACCAGUGGCGAAGGCGGCUACCUGGUCUGCAACUGACGCUGAGACUCGAAAGCAUGGGUAGC
rnacentral:rRNA from 1 species